GAUUACGGUGGCGGCCUAAGCC
rnacentral:siRNA from 1 species